CAGUCGCCGCGGUAACACGGAGGGUGCAAGCGUUAAUCGGAAUUACUGGGCGUAAAGCGUGCGUAGGCGGUUCGUUAAGUCUGUUGUGAAAGCCCCGGGCUCAACCUGGGAAUGGCAAUGGAUACUGGCGAGCUAGAGUGUGUCAGAGGAUGGUGGAAUUCCCGGCGUAGCGGUGAAAUGCGUAGAGAUCGGGAGGAACAUCAGUGGCGAAGGUGGCCAUCUGGGACAACACUGACGCUGAGGCACGAAAGCGCGGGGAGCAAACAGGAUUAGAUACCCGAGUAGUCCCUGUCUCUUAUAC
rnacentral:rRNA from 1 species